UACGGAGGGUGCAAGCGUUAUCCGGAUUCACUGGGUUUAAAGGGUGCGUAGGUGGGCAGGUAAGUCAGUGGUGAAAUCUCCGGGCUUAACCCGGAAACUGCCAUUGAUACUAUCUGUCUUGAAUACCGUGGAGGUGAGCGGAAUAUGUCAUGUAGCGGUGAAAUGCUUAGACAUGACAUAGAACACCAAUUGCGAAGGCAGCUCACUACGCGAAUAUUGACACUGAGGCACGAAAGCGUGGGGAUCAAACAGG
rnacentral:rRNA from 1 species